rnacentral:lncRNA from 1 species
AACUUUCAAAAACGAUCACUUAAGUUCUAGGCGGUUUCACUAAUGGUCACUUAAAUUUAAAAACUUGCACAAAUGGUCACGAUCAGGACCUUUCUGAUUCUAAUUCAAACUUAAGGAUCGAAAACACGUGACCAUACAAUAUUGAGGACCUCAGGCACAAAAUUUCAGCCCAACCAUGGAAGCCAACUUCCGACCACCAUAGCUACCGGAUUUUUGCGCUACCACCAUCUCCUCAUCAACCCCUAACAUCCCUACACAAACAACAGCCCCAAAUCACCGCAAAAUCGAGCUAAUUCUCUUGCAUAAACUGCUUGAAAUUUCUAGGAAGAAGGUGAAUUUUGAGGAUAUCGAGCCACCACUUUUGGCCACCACAACUCCAACCUCCGACCACCUUGGUCGUCGACCAACAUACCACCUUGAAGCCCUCACUUCACUCGUUCCAACCCACCCAACCAAUGGCCAAAACUCCAUCAGAUCUGCCUGAAAGCUCCGGUCAAAGAAGCUGCCCGCGCAACCAAAAACGACCAGCGCACCACUUCUGGCCACCACAACUCCAACCUCCGACCACCUUGGCUGUAGACUAACAUACUACCUUGAAGCCCUCACUUCACUCGUUCCAACCCACCCAACCAAUGGCCGAAACUCCAUUAGAUCUGCUUGAAAUUUCCAAUCAAAGAAGCUGCCCACACAACCAAAAAUGAACAGCGAACUCGGACCAUUCAACUCCAAUUUUCGACGUCGGAAACACUACUCACGGUGGCGGACCACCACCCCUAGAACCGUCUCUUCAUGGCUCAUCCAAUGGACGUAUGGGUCACUGCCAAUUUCGAACCAACAAGGCUGAAUUUAACCAAGCAGCCCAUGCAGAGGCGCAUCGAACCGAAUUAGAUCUGCCUCCUUCAAUUCCUCAUCCCCACAUCAUUGAAUCACAAAAUUGGUCCUAAUAGAGUCUCCAGCAGCAUCAUACAACUAUGGGUAACAGUUCAAUUGCACCUAAUAAUCUAGAAACGACCCCAAUAAUCAAAUUGAGCAAAUUUUUGAGUUUUUUUUAACGUUUUCUAAAUUUUGCGCCUGAGGUCCUCAAUAAUGUAUGGUCACGUGUUUCGAUCCUUAAG